rnacentral:lncRNA from 1 species
UCAAAUUAAGGGUAUAAUUAUUGCUUCAUUUAUUCUAGGCAUGAUUUUAGGAGUAUAUAUUCUUUUUUUCUUUUUUUCCUCUUCUCUUUCCUAACUAACACGGUGUGAUUAGCUAGCUUAUAUAACCUCGUUUGAAUUUCAUACAUUUUCCACAUUAACAUUAUCUAAAAUGCUGCGUGUAACCACGGGUUGAAUCUACGUUCACCUAAUAUCCACUCUGAAGCCAUAACAGUCUCUGAAAAGACUGACCCAUCUUCACCUUUGUAUUUAUUUAUUUAUCUAUUGAAUUGUUUCAUAAUUUAAUUACAAUACAAUUAAAC